rnacentral:lncRNA from 1 species
AUAAUCAUUUCUAAAUAUCAAAAAUGAUCACUCUUAGAAACUUCAUGAUCUUUAAUUUUCACUCUAUCUUCAUCUCUAUUUUUAAAUUUACUAAAACUAUAUUUCUUGUAUUCCGUUUUGAUGCUACUUAAUCUAAAACCCUAAACCUCAAUUUUAGUUUCAUCCACUAAUACUAUGUCAUCCAUAAACAGCAUGCACCAAGAAAUGUCAUCUUGGAUAUACCUAGUAAGCUCGUCCAUAACUAGUACAAAAAUAUAGAGACUUAAAGCAGAACUUUGGUGUAUACGUUUUAUGAUUGGAAACUCAAUUGUAUUAUCACCAAGUGUUCUAAC